rnacentral:lncRNA from 1 species
UAGUCGGUCGACCGUGUGUGUGCACGUAGGGGUUCUAGUCUGUCGACCGUGUGUGUGUGCACAUAGGGGUUCUCGUCUGUGUGUGUGUGUACGUAGGGGUUCUAAUCUGUCAAUUGUGUGUGUGUACGUAGGGGUUCUAGUCGGCCGACCGUGUGUGCGCGUACAUAGGGGUUCUAGUCUGUCGACCGUGUGUGCGUGCACUUAGGGGUUCUCGUCUGUGUGUGUGUGUACGUAGGGGUUCUAAUCUGUCAAUUGUGUGUGUGUACGUAGG